rnacentral:lncRNA from 1 species
AAAUAACCCGAGACCAUGCAGUCUUAGCAGGGAGAUGAAAGCUGCCCAGGAUGGGGAUUACAGCAGUGCCCGAGCGCUCUUCAUUAUCGAGACACUUCUGGAGGUAAUUAGCGUUGGUGUUCAUCAUCUCUACGGAGUCUUUGCAGUGGGGAUGGUUUGAGUGGGAACUGGCAAUGUGGCAGUUAGCAGAAGUGACUCUCCAGGGGAGCUAAAAUCCAUGUAUUUGGGCACACACUUGAACAAUAUUGCUAGAGAAAUUUAAGCAAGAGCACAAAGGCACUACGUUGUCUGGGAUGAUGGAAGGAGCUAAAGUCUUCAGUGAAUGAAGGAGCAGGACCAGGAGCUCAAAAUACUUCUUUGAAGACAAAGAAGAAAUGAUAUUACCAAAUGGUUGGCUCAAAAGAACAGGGAUUUUGCAACAGAGAGAGUAUGUCAUGGUCUUGAACAAGCAAUGUUUUGCCAGGACGAUUAAAUAUCAUUGAUGCUUCUGGUCUACAAUUAGUCAGAGAAGAGAUUAAAAAAAUGAUGAGUAUUCAAGAAGGAAAGUGUUUGCUUUAACAUAUGAAGAAAAGGAGCUUCAGAGUGGUGAUUAACCCCAGAAUUGUGUGGAACGGAUAUGGAAACAAGACCACAGGAGCAUCGAGAACUGAGCAGAACUGAAGGUGACAUGAAAAUCAGCUGCAAGAUUCACCUCAGGGUGAUAAUGGGCUGCAGGUGGCUGCAGGAAUCCCGGGACAUUCUAGGCACUGCCAUAUUUUCUUAGGGGCCAGUAAGGAUGGCUAUCAUCAGAUGUACCUGAUGAUACAAACAUGGGCUGUCUUGCCUUCUAGUAUUCAUUCUUGAUGAUUGCAUCCAGAGCUCACUUUGGAGGUGCAGAUCAACUCUUCUUCAGGCUCAUCCAUGCGACUUGAGUGGGCUCUCAUCCCCAUUCCCAGGGGCUUAUGACAAUCAAGGUUUCCACUCCUCCAUGGUCUCAAUGGUUUUUCUCCCCAUGGGAAGCACAUAAUCCCAUUAGAGGCCACGGGAAGCUUUUUUGUUGGGCUUUGAGGGAAAAAAGGCUUUUGCAGCCAAUGAAUCGAUCAAUGUGUACUUCAACCUGGAUUGUAUGUAUGCAUCUCCUAGAUUGGGCGGAUGAUGAAGUGAGGCUGGAAGUGCUGAGCAUCUUCCUACCUGGGAUGACUGGGCUGAGCAGGAAGCCUACCCCGGGGUUCCAGCCAAGUUGGAGCCUGUGAGUGUGUGGUGUAGUUUAACGCCCUGAUUAAAUCACUAGGAAGCCAUUUCUCUCUCUCCUCCCAGACCAGAUCAGACAAUAUGUUCCCUUAUUUCUACUAAAGCCCCAAUUGGAUUUUGUGUCUUUUGAUACUGAAAGAAUCUUACCACAAAUAAAAUAAUUUGUCAUGUGGCUCCUACAUAUUUAUUCAGUUACAUAAACUAACUAAAUAAAUGAAUAAACUGUCAAUAAUGGUAGUUCCUCAUCUAUGAAUGACUCUUUACAAAGCCUAUCUCGCUUAAUAGUCAUAAUAAAUACUGAAGUAGAUACUAUUUAUACCUUUUUUUUAAAAGGAAUUAAAUAUUUUCAGGGUUAUACAAAGCAUGAGUAUUGUGGGUACAAAUUCAAGCUUUCUAACUCAAAUUUGAAGACUUAUCCCCAGGAUACUUUUACAUCUUUAGCUAGUACCAUGUAUACCUCAAAAGCUUACAUUAUUUUUCACAUGUGUUAGGUUUUGAGGGAUAAUCAAUAAGGAGGGCAUACUUUCAGGCUUCUUAUUUAUAACUGUGAAAUUUAGAAAUUGAUGGAGUAGCAGAUUUCUCGGUAGGAGACAGCUGUUUUAAAAUGCCCCAUGUUUUUAUUAAAGUAAAAAUCUCAAAAAUUGUCUUUUAAAAAGUGGCUCUGGCCAAUCUUAGAUAAAACAUCAUUUACUAGACUUAGGAAUUUCCUGUAGUAAAUUUCAGAUUUACUUUUCGGUCUCACAUCAUCAAAGAGAUCAUAACCCUUUGUGCAAUUAUGGUCUUGAACCAAGGCCUAUUCUCUAGGUCACUGCUGUCAGGACUUCAAGAUAAUUGUUUCCAUUGCAGGAUUUGAUUUUUAAUUCCCCGGAUGUUCUUGACGUGGUUCAGUUCUUCAGGAAAUCAUCACCCUCAUGAGCCCUCCCUGCCACUUGCAGAUAGGGCUUUCUCCCGGUAAGUUCUGGAGUCACGGCAGAGCUCAAUAAGUCUGAUUGGGACCUCCUAUGAUUAU